rnacentral:rRNA from 1 species
UACGAAGGGGGCUAGCGUUGUUCGGAAUCACUGGGCGUAAAGCGCACGUAGGCGGAUUGUUAAGUCGGGGGUGAAAUCCUGAGGCUCAACCUCAGAACUGCCUUCGAUACUGGCAAUCUCGAGUCCGGAAGAGGUUGGUGGAACAGCUAGUGUAGAGGUGAAAUUCGUAGAUAUUCGGAAGAACACCAGUGGCGAAGGCGGCUCACUGGUCCGGUACUGACGCUGAGGUGCGCAAGCGUGGGGAGCAAACAGG